UACAGAGGUGACUAACGUUGUCCGGAAUUAUUGGGCGUAAAGGGCGCGUAGGUGGUUGAGUAAGUCAGGUGUGAAAGCUCUGGGCUUAACCCAGGAAUUGCAUCUGAUACUGCUCGGCUUGAGUACGGUAGAGGAGGGUGGAAUUCCCAGUGUAGCGGUGAAAUGCGUAGAUAUUGGGAGGAACACCGGUGGCGAAGGCAGCCCUCUGGACCGAAACUGACACUGAAGCGCGAAAGCUAGGGGAGCAAACGGG
rnacentral:rRNA from 1 species